AAGGAUGUUUUGUGACAAGUAAAUAUUUUUUGUUUGGCUUGUGUAUGUUAUGCAUGGACCGUGUGAUGGGUCUCGAAGGUUCAGAGGAUGAUGUUGAUAUGCGUUCCAAUAGUGGUGUGGUUUGUGGUGGGGAUGUAGGUGUGGGUAAAUGUGAUGGUUGGAUGUUAUUUGAGUUUGAAGGUGUAGGUUCAGUUGAUUGAGGUGUAGUAGAAAUGGCAUGGUUAAUAUUGGAGCUGGUUUGAGGGGAGUCAUGU
rnacentral:lncRNA from 1 species